GAUUCGCCCUUCGGGGUGCAGCAGGCGCGAAAACUUUACAAUGCUGGCAACAGCGAUAAGGGGACCUCGAGUGCCAGGAUACAAUCUUGGCUGUCGCGAUGCCUAAAAAGCAUUGCAUAGCAAGGGCCGGGCAAGACCGGUGCCAGCCGCCGCGGUAACACCGGCGGCUCGAGUGGUAACCGCUAUUAUUGGGUCUAAAGGGUCUGUAGCCGGCCGGAUAAGUCUUUUGGGAAAUCCAGCUGCUCAACAGUUGGGCUUUCAGAAGAUACUGUUCGGCUCGAGACCGGGAGAGGUGAGAGGUACUUCAGGGGUAGGGGUGAAAUCUUGUAAUCCUUGAAGGACCACCAGUGGCGAAGGCGUCUCACCAGAACGGAUCUGACGGCAAGGGACGAAAGCUAGGGGCACGAACCGGAUUAGAUACCCGGGUAGUCCUAGCCGUAAACGAUACUCGCUAGGUGUCAGCCACGGUGCGACCGUGGUUGGUGCCGUAGGGAAGCCGUGAAGCGAGCCACCUGGGAAGUACGGCCGCAAGGCUGAAACUUAAAGGAAUUGGCGGGGGAGCAC
rnacentral:rRNA from 1 species